rnacentral:rRNA from 1 species
AGAGUUUGAUCAUGGGCUCAGGACGAACGCUUGCGGCGUGCCUAAGAAAUGCAAGUCGAGCGAGCUUGAGGCUUCGGCCAAAGAGCUAGCGGCGAACGGUCGCGUAACACGUAAGCAACCUGCCCUGAAAUGGGGGGAUAGCCCGCCGAAAGGCGGAUUAAUACCGCAUGUGGAUAGAGAGCCUCCUGGUUUUCUAUCUAAAGCAGCAAUGCGUUUCAGGAUGGGCUUGCGGCCUAUCAGCUAGUUGGUGCAGGUAACGGCUCACCAAGGCGACGACGGGUAGCUGGUCUGAGAGGAUGGUCAGCCGGACUGGGACUGAGAUACGGCCCAGACUCCUACGGGGGGCAGCAAUUAGGAAUCUUGCGCAAUGGGCGAAAGCCUGACGCAGCGACGCCGCGUGACUGAUGAAGUCCUUCGGGAUGUAAAGGUCUUUUGCAGGGGAAGAAGGAUGUGACGGUACCCUGCGAAUAAGCCCCGGCUAACUACGUGCCAGCAGCCGCGGUAAUACGUAGGGGGCGAGCGUUGUCCGAAUUUACUGGGCGUAAAGCGCGCGUAGGCGGGUUUUUAAGUUGGGGGUGAAAUCCCGGGGCUCAACCCCGGAACUGCCUCCAAAACUGGAAGCCUUGAGGUAUGGAGAGGGAAGUGGAAUUCCUGGUGUAGCGGUGAAAUGCGUAGAUAUCAGGAGGAACACCCGUGGCGAAGGCGGCUUCCUGGCCAUAUCCUGACGCUGAGGUGCGAAAGCUAGGGGAGCGAACGGGAUUAGAUACCCCGGUAGUCCUAGCCGUAAACGAUGGAUACUAGGUGUUAGAGGUAUCGACCCCUCUAGUGCCGUAGCUAACGCAUUAAGUAUCCCGCCUGGGGAGUACGACCGCAAGGUUGAAACUCAAAGGAAUUGACGG